rnacentral:rRNA from 1 species
UUGAAAGGGAAACGAUUGAAGUCAGUCGUACCAGCGGGAAAUCAACCUUUCGAGUGGGGGUUUUGGAGUUUUGAAGAGUGUCAAAACCUUUGAGAUUUCAAAAAUUUCGCUCUUUUGGUGUACUUUCUCGUGGGUAGGUUAACAUCGAUUUUGAUCAUCAUAAAAAGAUUGGAGGAAUGUAGCUUCGAUCUUGUAUUGAAGUGUUAUAGCCUUUGGUAAAUGUGAUGAUUGGGAUCGAGGAUUGCAACGAAUACCCUUUUGGGCUAUCCGCCUGAUCUCUGAUACGUGGCCUUGGUAUCGAAAGCUUGCUUAUGGUAUUGAGGUAUUACGGUCAAAAGGUUAGAACGGAUUACAUUCGUUAAGGAUGUUGACGUA